GAACUGAAGAGUUUGAUCAUGGCUCAGAUUGAACGCUGGCGGCAGGCCUAACACAUGCAAGUCGAGCGGAUGAAGAGAGCUUGCUCUCUGAUUCAGCGGCGGACGGGUGAGUAAUGCCUAGGAAUCUGCCUGGUAGUGGGGGACAACGUUUCGAAAGGAACGCUAAUACCGCAUACGUCCUACGGGAGAAAGCAGGGGACCUUCGGGCCUUGCGCUAUCAGAUGAGCCUAGGUCGGAUUAGCUAGUUGGUGAGGUAAUGGCUCACCAAGGCGACGAUCCGUAACUGGUCUGAGAGGAUGAUCAGUCACACUGGAACUGAGACACGGUCCAGACUCCUACGGGAGGCAGCAGUGGGGAAUAUUGGACAAUGGGCGAAAGCCUGAUCCAGCCAUGCCGCGUGUGUGAAGAAGGUCUUCGGAUUGUAAAGCACUUUAAGUUGGGAGGAAGGG
rnacentral:rRNA from 1 species